GGCAACGUGGCCGAGUGGUUAAGGCGGCGCCCUGCUAAGGCGUUGGGUUCUGCCCGCGUAGGUUCGAAUCCUGCCGUUGUCG
rfam:Eimeria maxima Weybridge genomic scaffold, Emw_scaff2145